UACGGAGGAUGCGAGCGUUAUCCGGAUUUAUUGGGUUUAAAGGGUGCGUAGGCGGAUCGUUAAGUCAGUGGUCAAAUUGAGGGGCUCAACCCCUUCCCGCCAUUGAAACUGGCGAUCUUGAGUGGAAGAGAAGUAUGCGGAAUGCGUGGUGUAGCGGUGAAAUGCAUAGAUAUCACGCAGAACCCCGGUUGCGGAGGCAGCAUGCCGGCUUCCUACUGACGCUGAAGCACGAAAGCGUGGGGAUCGAACAGG
rnacentral:rRNA from 1 species